AAUCUUGCUUUUUCGAAUUUUAUCUCAUUUUAGUGAUUUUGUUGUGAAAAUAAAAAAUAUAAAAAAAAAAUAGAGUCGUAGUUAAGAUAAAGAGAAAAUUUUCAAAAAUAUUUUUUUUCUUUUUAACUGGAUUUAAAUGUAUAAGUUUUAUUUUUUCUUAGUCUAAAAUUAGGUGGCUAAAAUACUUAUAAGUAUAUUUAGAUUUUUAUUAAGAAAAAAAAAAAAAAGAGGACGAACCAAAAAGUUUCACCUCAUAAGAUUCUUUCCAACAAACUAAUUUUUUCCACUCCAUUUUACAAUACACGUUUUCAUAUACCUCACAUAUACACAUCACACAAAAAAAUAAGAAAGAAAAACAAAUUUGGAGUAGAACACGUGACAAUUGGAAUGAAAAUAUUAUUUUGGAGUGGUUCCCAUAAUCAUUUUUGAUACAAAGAAGAAUACACAUCAGAUGAGAAGGGGGAAUUUAUUAUUUUUAGAGGGAAAUAGAUGGGCCCACGCAUAAAGAAAAAUAAUAAAAUAAAAUAAAAUAAAAUAAAAUAAGGGAGAGGUCACGUUUUGUGCCUGCUCCUUCAUUGAGAAACUUCCAAGAAAGGGUCAUUUUUAUGGAUGGAGAUAUAGAAUAGAGAGAGGGGGGAGAUAUACAUAAAUAUAGAGAGAGAAUGUGAGGAACAGAUCCAAAAAAAUAGAGAAAAUAUACCCACCAUCAUCAUCUUCUUCCUAAAAUCACCACCACCAACCGUCGCCACCCUACCGGAAAAUCCCCAUUAAACCACCAGUCCUUCACCCAUCUCCACCAUUCGAACCACCCAAAAAUCACCAUAAUAACUGAUAGGUUGGGGUUUCUGAGUUAGCUUUAAGGUUUUCUGGCCAAAGUGGAAGUCGACGUCGUGGGUUCCGAUUCGAGGCUCGCCGGUCCGUUUGGUUUGGAUCUAGAGAUUCGUUAAUUAGCAUUGAAGGAAAAUUGCAGCUGUUUAAGGUAUCGAAAGAUCCUCUUCACAGCUUCCCAAUGAUCUUUUAAAGGAUUGGACUGAUACCUGCUAACCAGACUUAUAACAUAACAAAUGUCCGGACGAGUACACAUCAUAGCGUACAUCAAGCUCCCGACAGCACUAGAAUAUGGAAUUCGAGACAUGUCUUCUUUUUCUUUUCCACUCUCAGGACACAUUUCAAGGCUUAAAGUCUCACCUCUUGCUAUAUGAGUAUUCAUGGGUUUGCAACUAUUCAUUUGAAAGCGUUUCAAAAUUUUCUUGAGAUAGACUCAAAGACUUCUUGGAAUGAUCUCUUUGGAUCUUAACACCUAAUAUAUAAUCUGCUUCACCCAUGUCUUUCAUGUUAAAUGACUUUAAAAGUCAUGACUUGAUAGUUUUCACAUACUCCAAAUUAUUUUCGGCUAAUAAAAUAUCAUCCACAUAAAGGGAAAGAAUUACAAACAUUCCAUUGGACCUUUUCACAUAAAUGCAAUGGUCUUCAUCGAUCAUGGUGAAAUCAUAUGACAUCACCUCUUUGUGAAAUCUCAAAUACCACUGCAUUGAAGACUGCUUCAGGCCAUAAAUAGAUCUUUUUAAUUUGCAUACUUUCUUUUCUUGGCCUUUAACGAUGAAACCUACAGGUUGUUCCAUGUAGAUUUUCUCGUUUAUUUCUCCAUUGAGAAAAACUGUCUUCACGUCCAUUUGGUGUAACUCUAGAUCCAAACGUGCAACAAUAGCCAAAAGUAACCGAAUUGAGGUAAACUUCACAACUGGUGAAAAGGUUUCCUCAUAAUUUAUUCCGUCUUGUUGGGUAAAACCUUUUGCGACCAAUCGUUCCUUGUAUCUUUCCAUUGACUCGUCCGCUUUACAUUUAACCUUGAAAACCCAUUUGUUUCCAAUAGCUCUACACCCAGAAGGAAGGUCAACCGGAUCCCAGACUUUGUUGGUUCUCAUGGACUCCAAUUCUUCUUUCAUUGCUUUCAUCUAUUCAUCUUUUUCAGGACUUGCUAAAGCCUCAGUCAUAGAAUUAGGCUUAUCCAAUUUUGUGGGAGAUACCAAGAAAACCUAAUCCUCAAUCUCGUAUGAUCGUUUAGGUAUACCUUUUCUAGUACUCUUACGCAAUUGAAGUUCAGAUUCCUCAAUAGGAUUAUUGCAUUGAAAACUCCACUUGGAUCAGGAACCAAUCCUUGAUCUAUUUGACUAUCAAACAUGCUUAGAGACAUUGUCUGAUCAUCAAAAUUCAACAUUUCGUAAAGAAGCUCUCCUUUCUUUAUUUCGCCCUUUUUGGGAAAAUCAUUCUCUAGAAAUGCGACAUCUCGUGAUUCAAUUUUAGUUAUACUUCCAUCUUUUAAUUCACCAAUGAACACAUACCCUUUGGAGUGUUCUGAGUAUCUUAUAAAGAUACAUUUCUUUCCUUUUGGUAUCAGUUUUCCAAACUUACCAAAACGAUCUUUUACAUAUGCCGCACAACCCCCAAGGUCGUAGAUCAUUUAUGUUCGGUUUAUGACCAAUCCAUAGCUCAUAGGGAGUGGAAGUAAUUGAUUUAGAAGACACUUUAUUUAGUAUAUAGGUCGCAGUCAAUAACGCAUAUCCCCAGAAAGAGACAGGUAAAUUUGCCUGCGCCAUCAUUGACCUUGUCAUGUCCAAUAAUGUUCUAUUCCUUCUUUCUGCUACACUAUUCUGUUGAGGUGUGUAAGGAGUAGUUAACUGUCUGGUAAUGCCUUUUUCAUUACAUAAUUCUUCAAACUGUUUUGAUAAAUAUUCAACGGCCUCUAUCGGUUCUUAAAGUCUUCAUACUUUUAUCUAAUGGAUUUUCAACUUCAUUCAUAUAUCUUUUAAAGCAUUCGAGUGCUUCAGAUUUAUGAGAAAUCUAAUAG